UCCUGAUCAGCAAGGCUUCUUGGUAUGUGCUUGAUUAUGUCUACAUUUUUUUGAGGCAGCCUUUAUAUAUUUAUUUCGGUGUAGAUUGAAGAUGUCUUUUCUAGUAACUCAAUUUUGAUGGUCUUUCUUUACUUGCUGGGUUUCUCUUUCUGUGUCUCUUGGUAAAUAGUAGAUGGAAGUAUUAUUGUGAGGUAGGUGUCAUUUGUAAUGACUGAUAAAACAUAGUGUUUGUUUUG
rnacentral:misc_RNA from 1 species